rnacentral:tRNA from 1 species
GCGUUUGUAACUUAAUUGGAAAAAGUGUUGGAUUUCGGCCCCAAAAAAUAUAGGUUCAAGUCCUAUCAAACGUA